UGGGUUGUAGCUCAGUGGUAGAGCACUUGCCUAGCAUGAAUGAGGCACUAGUUUCAAUUCUAAUCAUCACAU
rnacentral:tRNA from 1 species